rnacentral:rRNA from 1 species
UACGGAGGGUGCAAGCGUUAAUCGGAAUUACUGGGCGUAAAGCGCACGUAGGUGGAUUUGCAAGUUGAGUGUGAAAGCCCCGGGCUUAACCUGGGAACUGCAUUCAAAACUGCAAGUCUAGAGUACAGGAGAGGGAAGUGGAAUUUCCGGUGUAGCGGUGAAAUGCGUAGAUAUCGGAAGGAACACCAGUGGCGAAGGCGACUUCCUGGACUGAUACUGACACUGAGGUGCGAAAGCGUGGGGAGCAAACAGG